rnacentral:rRNA from 1 species
ACGCUGGCGGCGUGCCUAACACAUGCGAGUCGAGCGAGGAGAUCCUUCGGGAUGAUCCUAGCGGCGGACGGGUGAGUAACACGUGGGCAACCUGCCUCAUAGAGAGGAAUAGCCUUCCGAAAGGGAGAUUAAUACCUCAUAACAUUGCAGUUUCGCAUGGAACAGCAAUUAAAGGAGCAAUCCACUAUGAGAUGGGCCCGCGGCGCAUUAGCUAGUUGGUGAGGUAACGGCUCACCAAGGCGACGAUGCGUAGCCGACCUGAGAGGGUGAUCGGCCACAUUGGGACUGAGACACGGCCCAGACUCCUACGGGAGGCAGCAGUGGGGAAUAUUGCACAAUGGGGGAAACCCUGAUGCCAGCAACGCCGCGUGAGUGAUGACGGCCUUCGGGUUGUAAAGCUCUGUCUUCAGGGACGAUAAUGACGGUACCUGAGGAGGAAGCCACGGCUAACUACGUGCCAGCCGCGGC